rnacentral:lncRNA from 1 species
UCAUCUCUCACCUAACAUUUAUCAUUAUGAUCAUAUUUUUCAGUGUGAUUUUAGUGAAAAUAAAUUUCCUCUAUUUUGAGUUUUCAAAUUCUUGCAUCUUCAACUUCAAUUGAUUUCAAAUCUUGAUAACAAGAGUUCUGAGAUUGAUUGGAGAAGGCGCGUACUUGAAGCUAACCGUUCUUGGAGAUCUUGUUGAGUUUAUCAGAUUGUUAGCAAGAUUGAGGUGAUUGUUAAUGGCGGUGACAAAUUCCAUUGAAAAGAAGUAGGUUC